UACCGGUAUCCAAUUUUUUUCGGUUCCGUUUUUGAUUACGGUUUCGGUUUCGGUUUUAAAACGGUUUAUAACGGUUUCUGAAAUCGGUUUUGAAAACGGCUUCAAGCCCUGCUUUUUUGAUAACACGAUUGAGAACGAUUGUGGCAGAUCAAGGAAACGAUAUUUUGUAGCUUAUAAUCAAACGAUUGAGAACGAUUUUUAGAUCGACAUUGCCGUUCAGUGCCGUCCCGAAAUAAAACUACAUAAAUAUGUUCGAUAAUUAAAAAAAUAGUUUACCUAUGGAUUUCUAUAUAAUAUUGUAAGUACGGGGGCUUCGAAUUCCUAUUGUCGUUUAUCUAAUGUUCAGUAAUAAAGAUAAUAAAUACGUUAUCGUGGUUUACGUAUCUGCAGAUAGUUUACGUAUUCGCCAAAUUCAGUUGUCUGGUGGACAGAGCGGUAACAACGUAAUAAUAUAGCGUAUAAUAUAUUAAUAUUAUAUAGUGUGUAAUAUAGUGUAAUAUUGUGUAUUUGUGUAACAUGAAGUAUGAUGGAAAACAUCAAAAUUAUAACGUCUGAACGCGGAAAAGAUCUUGCAGUAUUAAAUACUGAUAAAUAUUAAUUUGUAAGACAACGCAAAGAUGGAUUAAUGAAAUGGAAAUGUUCAAAUAACUGCUGUAGUGCCAAUUUAUUAAUGAAAAUGGAUAAAACUUUUCAUUUGUCAAACGGUAAACACGUGAAUCAUGUAAGUAAUAAAUAUUAAUAAACAAAAAAUUGAAAGACAGAUUUUAAGAGAUAAUUCUAAGCGAAAAGCUGAAGAUAAUACAUCUAUCAGACCUUCAAAAAUUAUUAGAACUGAGUUAUUAAAUAGUGACUUACCAAAUCUUAUGCACAAUGAUAUUACAUCAGUGUGGAAGGCUAUGUAUGACAAGUAGAGAAAACAAUACCCAAUUUACCCUACUAUACUUUAAAUGAAGCUAUAUCCUAAUUGAUGAAUAUGCAAAAUAACGAUGUAUGUUUAUUUAAAAGUGAUCAAUUUGUUUUUGUUCCUGAAACCAAUGAGUCCGUUUGUAUAACAACAGGCCAAAAUUAAAAUUUUAUGUCGAAACAAACCGAAUUGCUCGGAGAUGGUACCUACUAAUAAUUUUGUACCAACAUUUUUUUUACAGUUAUAUGCAUUACACAUAUACGUAAACGGUUUUUAUGUGCCUUUUCUAAUUUUUUUUUACCGAACAAAACAAAAAAAUUUACAUUUAAUGUGGAAGUAUCUCUUGCAAAUAUGUCCAGCUCUAACGUUCAAAGGCUGCAUUUGGACUUCGAAGUCGGUUCUCACGAAGCAGUCAAAGAAAUAUUUCCAAAUGUCAUUAUUGAAACUUGCCGUUUUCAUAUAGCCCAAGCUUGUCGGAGAAAAAUAAACGGAGAAUCAACAUUGAGAAGUGCAUAUAAAGACAAAACUAAUGAAUUAGGUCAAUGGCUUAAAUUAUUUUUUAGUUUGCCUUUUCUUUUUCCCACUGAUGAUUCCCACCUAUUCUUUGGGAAUUGAACACAAGUACCGACAUUAAAUCCAAGGACCACCAAUGGGGCAGAAAGCUUCCACAGAACUUACAACGGGAAAUUUUAUAGCACGCAUCCUCCUACACAUGUAGUAAUUUCUGUUUUAAAGGAAACCCAAACACAGACCGUGGCAAUAAUGAAAUCAAUUGAAAACAAUAUUAUCAAAACCAUGGCCAGCAAAGAUUAUGAUCGGAUUAUUUCGACAGUUAAUACUUAUAAAGAGCUUGAACAAACUAAGGACAUCAUCAAGUAUCUUAAAUUAACUAGAUAUAAGUACCUUGGAAAAAAAAUUCAAAUUUUAUAUAAACUGGCAAAUAAAUAUAAAUUUUUAUCUUAA